GAUGAACGCUGGCGGCGUGCCUAAUACAUGCAAGUCGAACGCUGGAAAUCUAGCUUGCUCGCUUGAAGGAGUGGCGAACGGGUGAGUAAUACAUAAGCAACCUACCCACGAAGACUGGGAUAAUCUCUGGAAACGGGGACUAAUACCGGAUAGGUAAUCGGAAGGCUUCUUCUGAUUAUUAAAGGUUAAAAACACUGGUGGAUGGGCUUAUGGCGCAUUAGUUAGUUGGUGAGGUAACGGCCCACCAAGACGAUGAUGCGUAGCCGGCCUGAGAGGGUGAACGGCCACAUUGGGACUGGGACACGGCCCAGACUCCUACGGGAGGCAGCAGUAGGGAAUGUUCGGCAAGGGGGGAAACCCUGACCGAGCGACGCCGCGUGAGUGAUGACGGCCUUCGGGUUGUAAAGCUCUGUUGUAAGGGAAGAACGGUAGAUAGAGAAUAUCUAAAUGACGGUACCUUACCAGAAAGCCACGGCUAACUACGUG
rnacentral:rRNA from 1 species